rnacentral:tRNA from 1 species
GGGCCCGUAGCUCAGCUAGGUAGAGCGGCGGGCUUUUAACCCGUAGGCCCCGGGUUCAAAUCCCGGCGGGCCCGCCA